ensembl:lncRNA
UCGGGCUUGACAGAGACCUGCCUGUUGUUUGUGUGUGUGUGUGUGUGUGUGUGUUCCUCUACGCUGCUACAUGUCAGUGUUACGUUUUUCCCUGCGGAGCACUUUUGAAAGGUGAAAGUGUGCUGCACCCAUCCCGCAACUAGACAGGAGGCGGAGAAUACUGAACCCCGGGGCUGUUGUCACGCCUACGUUGGAGAUGUCCGAAAGACAGAGCCAGCUGCAGCACGCGCAGAACGAGACAGACGCGCAGCCGCGUCGGACAGGGGGUUGGGCGCGGUCCUGACCCAGCAGGUGGGAGGGGGCCGAUCGACCGGUUCUGUACCUGAGCCACAAACUGUCAGCACGUUUGAGAAGGAGUGUCUCGGCAUCCAAAGGGAGGUCAGCCCCCUUCGCUACUAUCUGCUGGGUCGCGCGUUCACCCUCCACUCUGACCACGCCCCCCUCCAGUGUCUCCACCGCAUGAAGGAUGUCAACACGAGGAUUACCCGGUGGUAAUUCACGUUGCAACCCUUCAACUUUCAGGUUGUGCACAGGCCUGGGGUGCAGAUGGCCGUGAUGGACUUCCCCUCCCUGUUCCGGGGGGGGGUGAGGACUGGAGCACAUGGAGUACCAUUGCGAGAAAGUCUCUUGGAACGCCCCCUGUGAC